GCUGCCGUAGCUCAGAUGGAAGAGCGUCCCCAUUCUUUGCCGCGCCACGGCCGAAGCGGGGAAGGUCGCAGGUUCGAAUCCUGCCGGUGGUU
rnacentral:tRNA from 1 species